rnacentral:rRNA from 1 species
GAUGAACGCUGGCGGCGUGCUUAACACAUGCAAGUCGAACGGUGAAGGCGGAGCUUGCUCUGCUGGAUCAGUGGCGAACGGGUGAGUAACACGUGAGCAAUCUGCCCCUGACUCUGGGAUAAGCGCUGGAAACGGCGUCUAAUACUGGAUACGAGCUGCGAAGGCAUCUUCAGCAGCUGGAAAGAAUUUCGGUCAGGGAUGAGCUCGCGGCCUAUCAGCUUGUUGGUGAGGUAAUGGCUCACCAAGGCGUCGACGGGUAGCCGGCCUGAGAGGGUGACCGGCCACACUGGGACUGAGACACGGCCCAGACUCCUACGGGAGGCAGCAGUGGGGAAUAUUGCACAAUGGGCGAAAGCCUGAUGCAGCAACGCCGCGUGAGGGACGACGGCCUUCGGGUUGUAAACCUCUUUUAGCAGGGAAGAAGCGAAAGUGACGGUACCUGUAGAAAAAGCGCCGGCUAACUACGUG